AGCGAACGCUGGCGGCAGGCCUAACACAUGCAAGUCGAACGCACCUUCGGGAUUAGUGGCGGACGGGUGAGUAACACGUGGGAACGUGCCUUUUGGUUCGGAACAACUCAGGGAAACUUGAGCUAAUACCGGAUAAGCCUUUCGAGGGAAAGAUUUAUCGCCAUUAGAGCGGCCCGCGUAGGAUUAGCUAGUUGGUGGGG
rnacentral:rRNA from 1 species